rnacentral:rRNA from 1 species
GUAGGUGGCAAGCGUUGUCCGGAAUUAUUGGGCGUAAAGCGCGCGCAGGCGGUUCUUUAAGUCUGAUGUGAAAGCCCACGGCUCAACCGUGGAGGGUCAUUGGAAACUGGAGAACUUGAGUACAGAAGAGGAAAGCGGAAUUCCACGUGUAGCGGUGAAAUGCGUAGAGAUGUGGAGGAACACCAGUGGCGAAGGCGGCUUUCUGGUCUGUAACUGACGCUGAGGCGCGAAGGCGUGGGGAGCAAACAGGGAUUAGAUACCCUGGUAGUCCACGCCGUAAACGAUGAGUGCUAAGUGUUAGGGGGUUUCCGCCCCCCUUAGUGCUGCAGCUAACGCAUUAAGCACUCCGCCUGGGGAUACGGCCGCAAGGCUG